AUUGAACGCUGGCGGCAGGCCUAACACAUGCAAGUCGAGCGGAGCGGCGGACGGGUGAGUAAUGCCUAGGAAUCUGUCUGGUUGUGGGGGAUAACGUCCGGAAACGGGCGCUAAUACCGCAUACUAUCAGAUGAGCCUAGGUCGGAUUAGCUAGUUGGUGGGGUACAGGCCUACCAAGGCGACGAGCCGUAACUGGUCUGAGAGGAUGAUCAGUCACACUGGAAUGAGGACACGGGCCAGACUCCUACGGGAGGCGGCAGUGGGGAAUAUUGGACAAUGGGCGAAAGCCUGGUCCAGCCAUGCCGCGUGUGGGAAGAAGGUCUUCGGAUUGGAAAGCACUUUAAGUUGGGAGGCGUUACCAACAGAAUAAGCACCGGCUAACUUCGUGCCAGCAGCCGCGGUAAUUC
rnacentral:rRNA from 1 species